rnacentral:rRNA from 1 species
UACGAAGGGGGGCUAGCGUUGCUCGGAAUUACUGGGCGUAAAGGGCGCGUAGGCGGCACUGUUAGUCAGGCGUGAAAUUCCUGGGCUUAACCUGGGGACUGCGCUUGAGACGGGUGUGCUGGAGGGCAGGAGAGGCUCGCGGAAUUCCCAGUGUAGAGGUGAAAUUCGUAGAUAUUGGGAAGAACACCGGUGGCGAAGGCGGCGAUGGC